rfam:Enteractinococcus sp. TASWS1574 116, whole genome shotgun sequence.
UGCAUCGUGAGGUGUGGUGGGGAGGAAGCCGGUUGGCAAAGCUUGGCACCGAGGUAUACGAAUCGCAUCAGGCAUGCAGUCUGGGGUGAGCCAGCACGAGAUGGUGAUGCCCGUUCCAUCAAGACGGUCUGUGUGUAAAUGCGGCGGGAGUCAAGUGACAGUACAUGUC